AACGAACCUUUACAGUAGGUCUACUGCAAAAGAAAUCAAUUAAAAAAAUCUCUUGUAGGAGUGAUGAUGUGCUCUGGUGGUGGACAACCCAUAUCUCUUCCUAAAACAAAUGAUAACCAAUGUCCAACAUAUUUUCGCCCUCCUCAACU
ensembl:ncRNA C36F7.22 ncRNA